AGAGUUUGAUCAUGGCUCAGAUUGAACGCUGGCGGCAGGCCUAACACAUGCAAGUCGAACGGUAACAGGAAGCAGCUUGCUGCUUCGCUGACGAGUGGCGGACGGGUGAGUAAUGUCUGGGAAACUGCCUGAUGGAGGGGGAUAACUACUGGAAACGGUAGCUAAUACCGCAUAAUGUCGCAAGACCAAAGAGGGGGACCUUCGGGCCUCUUGCCAUCGGAUGUGCCCAGAUGGGAUUAGCUUGUUGGUGGGGUAACGGCUCACCAAGGCGACGAUCCCUAGCUGGUCUGAGAGGAUGACCAGCCACACUGGAACUGAGACACGGUCCAGACUCCUACGGGAGGCAGCAGUGGGGAAUAUUGCACAAUGGGCGCAAGCCUGAUGCAGCCAUGCCGCGUGUAUGAAGAAGGCCUUCGGGUUGUAAAGUACUUUCAGCGGGGAGGAAGGGAGUAAAGUUAAUACCUUUGCUCAUUGACGUUACCCGCAGAAGAAGCACCGGCUAACUCCGUGCCAGCAGCCGCGGUAAUACGGAGGGUGCAAGCGUUAAUCGGAAUUACUGGGCGUAAAGCGCACGCAGGCGGUUUGUUAAGUCAGAUGUGAAAUCCCCGGGCUCAACCUGGGAACUGCAUCUGAUACUGGCAAGCUUGAGUCUCGUAGAGGGGGGUAGAAUUCCAGGUGUAGCGGUGAAAUGCGUAGAGAUCUGGAGGAAUACCGGUGGCGAAGGCGGCCCCCUGGACGAAGACUGACGCUCAGGUGCGAAAGCGUGGGGAGCAAACAGGAUUAGAUACCCUGGUAGUCCACGCCGUAAACGAUGUCGACUUGGAGGUUGUGCCCUUGAGGCGUGGCUUCCGGAGCUAACGCGUUAAGUCGACCGCCUGGGGAGUACGGCCGCAAGGUUAAAACUCAAAUGAAUUGACGGGGGCCCGCACAAGCGGUGGAGCAUGUGGUUUAAUUCGAUGCAACGCGAAGAACCUUACCUGGUCUUGACAUCCACGGAAGUUUUCAGAGAUGAGAAUGUGCCUUCGGGAACCGUGAGACAGGUGCUGCAUGGCUGUCGUCAGCUCGUGUUGUGAAAUGUUGGGUUAAGUCCCGCAACGAGCGCAACCCUUAUCCUUUGUUGCCAGCGGUCCGGCCGGGAACUCAAAGGAGACUGCCAGUGAUAAACUGGAGGAAGGUGGGGAUGACGUCAAGUCAUCAUGGCCCUUACGACCAGGGCUACACACGUGCUACAAUGGCGCAUACAAAGAGAAGCGACCUCGCGAGAGUAAGCGGACCUCAUAAAGUGCGUCGUAGUCCGGAUUGGAGUCUGCAACUCGACUCCAUGAAGUCGGAAUCGCUAGUAAUCGUGGAUCAGAAUGCCACGGUGAAUACGUUCCCGGGCCUUGUACACACCGCCCGUCACACCAUGGGAGUGGGUUGCAAAAGAAGUAGGUAGCUUAACCUUCGGGAGGGCGCUUACCACUUUGUGAUUCAUGACUGGGGUGAAGUCGUAACAAGGUAACCGUAGGGGAACCUGCGGUUGGAUCACCU
rnacentral:rRNA from 1 species